GAGAUGACUAAAGCAGCCUUUGGUCCUUCACUCUCCACGACCUGCGCUGAUGCCGGGAGAACUCGCUCGGAAGAAGAUGCUUCGGAGCAGGUAAAAGAGGGAAGGCAGAACAUUCACUUCCAUGAUUCAGAACUAGGAGCUCCACCUUUCUACCCUCACAGCUGGCCAGAUGAGAAAGAAAAGAUGUCAUGCUCCAUGGAGAAUGUUGGAGGGAUGUGUUUGAAAGCCAACUAAUGCUCCUUGGAUGAUCUAAGGGGUGUGCCCAGUCUUUUCAUAAGAAAGAAUACAAUAAAUGGAAAGAUGACAUCCAAGCAAAGUUCUAGGGUAGGUUUUCUGAUUUUCUUUCCAGUGUUAAAAUUUUAGCAUUCUUGCUCAUAAGACUUUGAUUGCUAUCAUUUUCUUCUCUCCUCUAGUACCUCAGGCCCUAUAAUGUUUUUAUUAGUCAUUCCUUUGAAUUAAGGCAAGGACUCUUAAAAUGCAAAUAUUACCUAAGAGGAGCAAAGUAGACCUUCAUAAAGUAACCUCAGAUUAUCUCACGCUGGAUUUUUUAGGUUAGUUCCUGUAGAAUAGGUGGAACCUAUAAGGAUGAAGAAGAAAAAAAGCUGAUCAGAGGAAAACUUUGACAAAAAGGGACUGUGACAAUAAUCAGGAAAAAUGUGAGUUCAGAGGAGGAUCCUCCUAAUGGUUACUUCCUUAAAUUAUCUUGUAUUUAUAAGUAGAAAGAGUUUAUGUAAAAUUUAAGGUUUGUGAAGCACUUUACAUUUAUUGUAUGAUUUGAUCUCCACAACAACUCUUGUGAGCAGAGUGUUAUUUUUAUCCCCAUUAUCCCCAUAUAAGUAUUUUAUUUUAUUUUUUAAUGUAUAUUAACUUUUUAAAUACAUAUUUCUUUAUGAAUCAUGAAAACAAAGGGGACAAACCACAACAGAAGAAAAGAAAAACAGGAAAAAAGAGUAAACAUA
rnacentral:lncRNA from 1 species